rnacentral:tRNA from 1 species
AGCUCUGUAGUGAUAAACACAUUAAAUUGCAAAUUUAAAAACGGCCCGUUUAUUGGUCCCGGGGCUU